GUCCCUGUAGCUCAGUAGGAUAGAGCAACUGACUUCUAAGCAGUGGGUCGGGAGUUCGAAUCUCCCCAGGGAUACCA
rnacentral:tRNA from 1 species